AAAGUGGGUCGGACAACCGCGAAAGGAUUACUUUGGAGGAAAGUCCGGGCACCAUAGAGCAGGAUGCCAGCUAACUGCUGGGCGGUGAGAGCCGACGGACAGUGCAGCAGAAAAUAUACCGCCGAUGGCCCUUGUGGCACAGGUAAGGUUGAAAUGGUGCGGUAAGAGCGCACCGCGCUUUUGGUAACAAAAGUGGCAGUGAAAACCCCAUCCGGUGCAAGACCAAAUAGGAAAACGCAGAUAACUUUGUUAUUCAACCUGCUGCUCGCAGGAGUUUUCGGGUAGGUUGCUUGAGUAAGGCAGUGAUGUCUUUACCAGAUGAAUGGUUGUCGCUCGCGAGAGUACAGAACCCGGCUUAUAGACCCACUUUUUCU
rnacentral:RNase_P_RNA from 1 species